GAUGAACGCUGGCGGCGUGCUUAACACAUGCAAGUCGAACGGGAAACCUUUUAUUGAAGCUUCGGCAGAUUUAGCUGGUUUCUAGCGGCGGACGGGUGAGUAACGCGUGGGUAACCUGCCUUAUACAGGGGGAUAACAGUCAGAAAUGGCUGCUAAUACCGCAUAAGCGCACAGAGCUGCAUGGCUCAGUGUGAAAAACUCCGGUGGUAUAAGAUGGACCCGCGUUGGAUUAGCUGGUUGGUGGGGUAACGGCCCACCAAGGCGACGAUCCAUAGCCGGCCUGAGAGGGUGAACGGCCACAUUGGGACUGAGACACGGACCAGAAUCCUACGGGAGGCAGCAGUGGGGAAUAUUGCACAAUGGGGGAAACACUGAUGCAGCGACGCCGCGUGAAGGAAGAAGUAUCUCGGUAUGUAAACUUCUAUCAGCAGGGAAGAUAAUGACGGUACCUGACUAAGAAGCCCCGGCUAACUACGUG
rnacentral:rRNA from 1 species